CCCCUUUCAUCAUGCCGGGCCGGCGCCUAUAUUCAUCGCGCUGGCGCAAGCCAGAUAUGGCGAUAAAUGGUUGUCGGAAUAAGCCUUUCGGACCCGGGGGCAGUACCCGGCGCCUCCACCAGAACCCGUGAUUUCGCAAGGCUUUGCGGGUUGCGGCGGGGGCGAAAUAGGAUCGACGAGGGUGUAAAGGGCUUUCUUUCGCUCGGCAUGGUUCCGCCGAUAUCGGGCCGACCUAUAGUUGCGAAUGACAACUAUGCUCCGGUUGCCGUUGCCGCGUGAGCGGUAAAGGCUGCCUUCCGUAGCGCGUAAGUCUCGUCUGCAUCGGGCACCGGCCGCGAGCACCGCACCCCA
rnacentral:tmRNA from 1 species